rnacentral:lncRNA from 1 species
GCGGCCGCCAUGUUCUCUGUGUGUCUUUGUCUUUUGUGUGUUCUUUCAUUCUCCACCACCCCCGGCACGGACCCCAACAAGUGGCGCAGCGAGCAGGGUCAGCACGGGGAGUCGCCUGGGAGGAGGCAGAAAUUAAGGUUUUCACCCAUAACAUUACUUGGAUGCCGUCCCCCUAUAUGGACAAGGACAACAUAGAACGGGAAACAGCAAUUAUAAUCAGCACAUACCAAUUUGGAGUGGAAGGACUUCCAAUAUAUAUGGGAAAUAGUCCUCAUUGUCUCCGAAAAUCGCAUGAAGCUUGGGCUGUUCGUUAUAAUCAUAGUCAUGUGGCUGCUAAUACUGUUAUUAUUGUAACUAGAAGUUUUUAAUAUAAUCAUACUGUAUAUAGUAACGAAACUAUUCCUAGUUCUUUACUUUUUUGUCCUAUUCUAGAGGUUUCUCCUAAUAUUGAGGUGCUGGAGUGACAACAAUGUCAGGGAACUAAACCCUGGAUUUUAUUAGAAUACAAUGGGAUGCAAAUAACUGAUUGAAGUGUGCACGGUGAUUUUCAAACAAAAUUUAGUCACAUACCUUUGAAAUGACACUGGGUAAAUAAAAGUAUUGCUGCUAACAGUAAUGAAACCUUGGUAUGGCGUGAAGGAGGCCUGAAGUACAGAGUUAUUUUUAGAAGUUGUUAGUUGCAGGCGAUGCCAUUAGCACUUUUGUGGGGAAUAUGCCCCUUAAUCUUUCUAACCCGAAUAACUCCUUUCAUAUUCAGUUAUAUCAAAAUACCUCCUGAUAUAUUAUUGCUUGUGUCCGUAAGCCCUACCUAUUAUUAGCAGGGAAUUUGACAUGGGAUAAUGAUACGGGGAUUGUUAAUUGUACAGAUACGUGUACAUUUUUGUCUUGCCUCAAUCAUUCCUGGUGGCACAACUUUACUGAGGAUAUUUAUAACCUCAGGGCUCGUAGGGAAAUUUGGCUGCCUGUUAACCUUACAUGACCAUGGGGGGCAUCACCUCUUGAGACUUAUAUUUGGACUUCUCUCCAGCAAACCCUCCGUGCCCUUGGACUUAUAAUUGCCUCGGUGAUGAGCCUUGUUGCCAUCGUCUCCACUGUGGCCGUAGCAGGGCUCGCUCUUCAUCAAAGCAUACAAAAUGCUGAAUUUGUGCAGCAAUGGCACGAGCAAUCUCACCGGUUAUGGCUUCAACAACG